rnacentral:rRNA from 1 species
ACUCCUACGGGAGGCAGCAGUGGGGAAUAUUGCACAAUGGGCGCAAGCCUGAUGCAGCCAUGCCGCGUGUAUGAAGAAGGCCUUCGGGUUGUAAAGUACUUUCAGCAGUGAGGAAGGUGGGUAUGUUAAGUUAAGUACAUGCACCUUCAUUUGACUGUUGAGCUGCAGAAGAAGCACCGGCUAACUCCGUGCCAGCAGCCGCGGUAAUACGGAGGGUGCGAGCGUUAAUCGGAAUUACUGGGCGUAAAGCGCAUGCAGGUGGUUUGUUAAGUCAGAUGUGAAAGCCCGGGGCUCAACCUCGGAAUUGCAUUUGAAACUGGCAACUAGAGUACUGUAGAGGGGGGUAGAAUUUCAGGUGUAGCGGUGAAAUGCGUAGAGAUCUGAAGGAAUACCGGUGGCGAAGGCGGCCCCCUGGACAGAUACUGACACUCAGAUGCGAAAGCGUGGGGAGCAAACAGGAUUAGAUACCCUGGUAGCUACGAGU